rnacentral:lncRNA from 10 species
AGGAAACUCACUAGAGUGAGGAAUGGCUCCCCAGAGGAAAGGGCCAGAAGGUUUUCACCAGCGCGGUGAGUGGCGAGGAUUUCAGGAAGAUUGGAAUUGAGGAGGAAGCCAUUUGCCUGCCUACAACCUCCUGUAUCCCCUUGUUGGUGACAGAACAAAAGAUAAAGCAGUCAGCAUUACCUGAAGUGACUUGGAGGUGAUUAAUACUCAGAGCUCCUGGAGCAGAAAGAGCUCUGUAAUCACACAGUCGUGUGCAUCCAUCCCCAGCUGUCAACAGGAUCUUCUGAGUAAAACACAGCUAAAUAAAUCUCUGCAAUGAGGAAGGACCGCAAUCAAAGAUGAGGAAAUGGAGGAAAAGAAACUUCUUCAAGGUCACCUAGCUCAUAAAUGGCAACACCAAGAUUUAAAUUGAAGUAGUUUAUCUCGAGAGUCCUUGCUUUUGGAUGGGAGUCUUGUCGAUCACAUUCAACCCUAAAUACCCAUCAUGUAGAACAGUGCCUGGCACACAGUAGGCACUCAAUAAAUAUUUGUUGAAUGACUGAAUGAUGUAGUGGUUUCAAAGGAGACCCUAACCCUGGGUCUCCAUGAGCUUGCCCUUGGGUAUACCCUAUCAC